UUAUAAAGGCCUUUAAGUCCCAUUUAAAGAAAAGGAGAAUGUUUGGUACAUUCAUUUCCAUCUGGGGAGGAGCUGAUGGUAAGCAGCUGUCUUUUCCAAACUCAAUGAUGGGCUUUCUGCGCAUAGAUGCCUUGGGGUUGAUGCUGCACUGAGACUCUGGGAAGUUCUGCUCUAGUGUUCAGUGGGAUAGAUAGGGCAAUGAAGAAAGCUGCUAGCAGGUCAUGUUUUAGGGGGUGAUGGAGACACAGUAAUGUGGUCUUGCUCUUGCUGGUUCCUCUCCUGCUCCUGGGGCAGGGCCAUCCUAGUGCCUGGAAAACAAGGUGGAGCUGCUACUGGAGGAACUUAAGCAACAGACUUCUAAACAAAAGCCUGAAGCUGACUCAUCUUCUCCUGGGGUUCUGUUGUCAUCAUCGGCCCUGUAGUGAUUAGACCCAAGUUCUGUUGGGCCUCUGGAAUCUCCAGUUCAACUGAAAAGUAUCCAGUGCCUCUGAUACAGAAUUGAAUAUGGAGUGUGUCACACAGAACUUCAAAAUGGCCUCCUCCUAUGACCUUUAACCUGCUGUUAUUCCUCUGGUUACAGCAUUACAAUAUGUGCUGUGGUCUGAAAGUGAGCCGACCUCCACAUGAGGUGGUGGUACACUUGGACCCCAGCUGGUGAUAAAAUUUGAGAAAGCUGGUAAUAGAGUCAAGGAGUUAUGGAGCACAAGGAGAACUUGACUCAGCUGUGCAGGCUUGAAGGAGGAUGAACUUUGAGGCUGAGAAACUUCUAGAAAAUAAGAGACAUUGUAAGGAAACAGAGACCCUGACUAUACAGCUAAAAGGAAGAGAACAGCAUUGAGACAAUGGGCCAAGCUACCUGGAAGGACAUUUCCCUGACCUCUAGAGAAGUCUAGCUGUCUGACAUUCUGAUUUUAGCCUGUAGAGUCUAGGCAGAUAACGUAGGUGGGCCUUCCUGGA